rnacentral:lncRNA from 1 species
GCCGCGCCCGCCGUCCUCGCCGCGGUCUUCUCUUCAGGCGCCUACCGCGGCUGGCAAGUCCCUGCUGGCAGAGCAGCGGAGGUCCCCGAAUCAACUUUCAAUUCCCCCUCUGCUUCUGCCUCACCAUUCUCUUCUCCGUGAAAGAUGGCUGUUUGGAGAAGGGGGCGAAGUUAGGGGGUCCUCGGCGCGGGGCGAAGGAGGGCGCGACAGCCUCGGCGGGAGCGGACGGAGGUUUCCCCUUUCCCAGCCUCUCGUGGACCAGCGUUGCCAGCUGAAGGAAGGUUGUGAAUCUGCAUCCCAGCCCAUUAGUCCUUCUCCUGAUUCCCGUGAUGAGUUCACCAGUGCAGCCUGGUCAGUUUGGUUGUUUCUUAAGCUAUUAACAGAUGUAAUAUGAAAGAUGUUGCUUUGUGUUGCUUCAAACCAAGCAAUUUAACUUAUGAAAGGACUUUUUAUUCUGAUGAGGAUGUGUGGAUACAAUGAAUUUUGAAUUUUGUGUUCUAUAGCUAAUCCUUUGUUAUGUAACCAUCUUGCUUUCCAGGCAAUUAAUUUCAUUUGAAUUAUUAUCUGAGCACUGGGCUUUAGUUCUUCUGCUAAUGUAACAUUUGGAUUGAAUUUUAUGAAGUUAUAAAUAUUUAUUAAAUAUGUUGUAGGCAUCUAAUUCAUAUCCAUAGUCUUUCUGAGUCCGUGUCUGUAUGUUUUAAAUUGUGUCAUAGGCUUUGGAUAUCAGCUUGUGGACUCAUUUUCCUCCUCCUUCUCUUUGACACACAGGAAGGAUAUUUCUCCUCCCUGCCCUUCUUUGCUGCCACUCCUGUUUCCUACAUACAUGUUUAAUUAUAAUCUCAGCACCUGCUUCCUCUGAGUCCAGUGUAAUGUGUGGCUCAUGUAGUGUUGUGAUAAGCACAGCCAACACCCAUUUCUCCAGGAACAGGGUGUCACUUUGGGAACAAACACAAUCCAAGUCUUAAAAAUGAUGGAGUAGUUUCAGAUAUCAUAUGUUAAACAUAGAGAAAUUUAAAAAGAAUUUUCUGUUUGAAUCAUUGUAGGAGUAUUUAUUUCUAUAUAUUCUUUAAAAAAAAAUCUCUCAGCACGUUGGUAUCUUUGAGUUAUCCAACUCCUGAGGUUGAAGCUAAUGUAAUAUUUUAUUCAGAGUUUAUAAAGGGAAAUCUUUUGCCAAGAUUUUCAGUCUGUGGAGUGCCACACCCAGAUCAGCUGCUCUGGAAUUCCAAUGUCUCAUCAACCUUUCCCAGAGCUCCAACAGGCUGCCAGCUUGUAUGUUGAAUUUGGAACUGAAAGGUUUUGGCGCGUACAACUGUAAUUGUUGAUUCUAAAUGAUGUAGUAAAGAUAUUCCAGAAUCUUUCUUCACAAUCAUGAUUUAUAAUUGGCGUUGUCAUCUGAAUAAGCACAUGAAGAGUUACACAGGCCUCUUAUCUCUGAGUCCUUGCAGUGCAGUGUUUCUCCAACUUUAGCAUCACUGGGAGGGCUUGUUAAAAUCAAGCCCCAUUCUCAAAGUUUUUGAUUCAGUAGAUCUUAGGUGGGUCCCAGGAAUUGUGAUACUUAUAAGUUUCCCCCCGGUGAGGCUACUGCUGCCUGAGGACUACACUUUGGAAAGCACUGAUCUAGCUUGCUAGUCCCGUUCCUUCCUCCACCUCUGCUUGCCUCCAUCCUCUCCUCCCUCCACACCCCCACCCUUACAGGCAGCCCUCUGUGCAUUACUUAUCACAAUUAUGGUGUAUUAUUACUGUCCUUUCUAUUGAGUUGGACUUAAAAUGAUGUGUGUGUUUUAUAUAUGCAUAUAUUACAUUUAAAUAUACAUUAUAUAUUGAUUUGUAUAUAACUUUAAUGUUUCAAAAUUACAUAAUUUAAAAGAGGCAUUUAAUUUAGAACUACCAUAGUCAAACAUUUUUUUUUCUUGUGGUAGAAUAUGUUAGAGUCAUUAAAAACAUAUUACAAGCAAUUGGAACAAAUUGGCUAAGUAUGAAUGUGGCAGAAAAUUUCCUCCAUUUCUAAAGUUACUGUCUAAAAUUUAUAUAGGGGAUUGUCUUUAAUUGUAAAGGACAGAAACUAGACUUUUAUAAAAUUGUCCCUGUCCCUUUAUUCUCUGCCUUCCUCCCCCAUAUCCUGUCCACAUUGUUUACCUCCCAGUUUUACUUCACAGAAGAGUGGCAGGGCAGAUUGAACCAUGGGAAAAUGGAAUUUUUGACAGUGACAGCAACUGUAUCCAAGUGAAACAUUUGAAAUGGCAUUUCUAUGUAAUCAUUAAAUGGGUAAAAAGUGCAGAUACCCUUGAUGGUUGAAGGUUGAAGGAUGCAACUAUAUGGGGAAAUUUUGAAUCCAAAUUAUAAUUAAACCCAAUUUAUCAUACUUAACUAACUUGUAAAUAGUGCAAGUACAGCAAUUUCAGUGUCUAUAUGGUCUUUUUUUAGCAUCUUUCUAGGAUGUAUGGACUUGGACCCACUUAUUUUUUUCUUUCCUUUUUAAAUUUAAGUAUAAUUAAUGUAUAAUAAUAUUUAUUUUACAGGUUACAGUAUAAUGAGUCACAAUUUUUAAAGCUUAUACUCCAUUUAUAGUUAUUAUAAAACAUUGGCUAUAUUUUCUGUGCUGUAUAAUAUAUCCUUGUAGCUUAUUUUAUACGUAUUGGUUUGUACCUCUUAACCCCUUAACCCCAUAUUGCCCCUUCCCUCUUCCCUCUCCCCACUGGUAGCCAACUAGAUUGCUCUCUAUAUCCCUGAGUCUGUUUCUUUUUUGUUACAUUCACUAGUUUGUUGGGUUUUUUUUUAGAUUCCAUGUAUCUGUCUUUCUUUGCUUUGUUUCACUUAGCAUAAUACCCUUCCAGUCCAUUCAUCUGUUGCAUAUGGUAGAAUUUCACAAUGGACCCACUUAUUUUUAAUGCGAAACAUGUAAUACCAUUAGACACUAUCGUAAGUGGUUAGACUUCCAGUUUAACCCAUUGAACCCUACUUAAAGAUAACUACUUUGCAGUGAAUGAAUACAGAAAAAUUUUGACAGCCUUUGAAAAAGAGAAUCAAUACAAUGUAGUAAGGAAUAUUUAAAAAUUUUGCAUGUUUAGAGAAAAGUGGACCAAUUUGACAGGAAAACAAACAAGUGAGAAAAUUUGAUGGAGAUAGUUCAUGUGAACUAUGGGCACCUUAGAUCAUUUCUCAGAAGGAUCAGCAUUACUUCUAAUUUCAUUCUAAAAGUAAUGAUUUUGGGGAGGCCAGUGUUAGGGUGAUUUCACUAUUCCUUUUCUCAUCUUAUGUAUGGAACAGAGGGAGGAAAUGGGGUGGGUGUGUGUGUGUGUGUGUGUGUGUGUGUGUGUGUGUGUGUAAAAUACAUGGUCAGAAGUAACAUUUACUGAACUUUGUGAGAUAAAGAAGAAAAGGAAAACAGAAGAGUGCAUGCAUCUAACGCUUAAGGGAGAAGAAGGAAACAUGAUUAAAGAGGAUUUGAGGUUAAAUAGAAAUCUUCUUGUCCAUGCAGUGUAUGUUGUUGGUUAUGUAGAAAGUGGCUGUGAAGUCAUGCUUCAAGGCGCAUGUGAAGACAGAGAUGUAUAUGUAUAGCUGUGUGUGUAUGUAUAGCUCAGCUUCUUAUGCUCAGGAUGAUAACAAUUUAUAGCAUUAUUUUAAAAUACAGAGUUCCUGUAUGUAAAUGGAAUACUUAAGAUGGUCAGAUACAUUGGACUUCUUUUCAAAAACACAAAGUGAAGUAAUACCAAAGACUUUGAUUAAUUCCACAUAUACCUGACACUGGCUCACAACUAGUAAUAUUUGACGGUUGCAAUCAGCAUACACUGACCCUGAGAAUGUUGAUUUUAUAAUUUGAAAAUGUCCUUUGAGGCUGCUAUUUUGAUGAGGAAGUUCUUGCUGGCCAUGAUACUUGUUCAGCUAGAAGAGGGAGUGAGAAAUGAGACAGCCACAAAGUGAAGCUCAUUUGACUUUUGAGUCAUUAAAAUUUCGUUAUGUACUUUCUUUCCUAUGCAUGAUUCUAGUCUGGUCUGUUGAGAACAGCAUUUUACAGAGGGUUUUUUUUUUUUUUUUUUGGUCUUUUUGUCUUUUAGGGCUGCAGUCACAGCAUAUGGAGGUUUCCAGGCUAGGGGCAAUUGGAACUGUAGCCAACAGUCUACUCCAGAGCCAUAGCAACACUGGAUCCAAGCAGCAUCUGCGACCUACACCACAUCUCAUGGCAACGCUGGAGGCCAAGGAUCGAACCCACGUCCUCAUGGAUGCUAGUCAGGUUUGCUAACUGCUGAGCCAUGACAGGAACUCCUACAGCGGUCUUAACCAAUUGUGUUUGGGAAGUUUUUAUGAAUGAAGUCUGAACUGAAGAAAGUCAUAGCAAAUAGAUCAGGUGGGUAGGAAUCCUAUAUUUAUUGUAAGUACAAUCUAUGAUUAGAGACCUGAAAUGCAUUCUGCAUAUAAAAAGGAAAACGUUCUGGCCACAGGCAUUAAAACAUUCUUCUGCUACUAUUAGUGUGUAUCUUAUGAUGCCAUGUAUUUUCUACCGGUAAGAAAUAACCUAAUUGUUUGACUUAAAAAAAGGAUUUUUCUUACAUCUCCUUUUAAAAAAAAACUACGUAAAGGGAAUUAAAUCGACCUUGUGCAAUAAUCAUCCAUUUAUUUUGCUUUUGUUCCACGAGGGGCUCUAAAGAGUUAUUAUGCACCAGAAAAAGUAGACUUAACGUCGAUUGCUCCAGAAAUUCUUUAUAGUCAAUGUUUGAAAUAGAGUGGGUUUUUUGUUUUUUUUUUGAAACUUUUCUCUGGGAUAGUGUGAAGUCUUAUUUUCCCCAUGCAUUGAUCCCAUUCUCAUGAGAAUUUUAUCUCAAUAUUCAGCUAUAGUUGAUAUCAAGUACUAAAUAUUACUGUCUUGAUCAUGUGUUCAAUCAAACAAGAAGUACUGAUCUUUGAAUAUAGAAUUCACUGGUUUUUAUUUUGAUCUUGCUGCCCCAAGAAGGAUCUAAGUUAGAGUACUAGGUAUUGCUUUUGGACCCUGAGGAGCCUGAAUGGAGAGAAGACUAUAUGAAUAAGACUGGCAGCCAGCUGCUGCAAUUGAGAGUCAUUUAUUUAUUAUUUUAUUUUUUAAAUUACUCAACGAAUUUAUUACAUUUAUGGUUGUACAAUGAUCAUCACAAUCCAAUUUUGUAGGAUUUCCAUCCCACACCCCAGAGUCAUUCAUUUAAAUCUUAUUAAGCAUACAUUCUGUGUUAGGCAGUGGGGACACAAAGAGUACUAAAAACGUUUCCACCCUUUAUCAACAGUAUCAUUUAGUGGGGGAGACAGAGUAAAGAGUUUUGGCCCAUUCACUGUGUUAAGUGUUUUAAUAAAUAGGGGAACAGAAGUUAAUUUCUUCUGUACAGCAUAUAGGUGCCAUUUAGUUAAUUUUUAUCAGGAUUGCUAGGUGGCAGAAGAAACGGCUUUUAAGGCUCAUCUAAGCUAGAGUUUUCCUAACAUAUCAGAUAAUAAAAAUUAUGUGAUGUUCUUGUUAAGAAUACAGAUUCUAAGACCUCCCCCAUUCUCUCUGCCCUCCCCCCAAAGACUUAAUGCAGUAGAUCUGGAGGGGAUAUUAAAUAACAUAUUGCAUGUUGCUCUCCACUGUGACUUUUCAAAAGUCUAGAAGUGUUCUUUAAUUUGUCUGAUAAAUACUAGUGUUCCUCAUUGAGACUCUGGAAAAAUAAAAAAGUACAUCAUUAAAUUCUAUCUCAAUAUAGGUAUUUCUCCUGUGAGCUAAGCUGUAACUCAGGUAUCUUGCUUUCUGAUAAACAAAAAGAUAGUGCUGUUGAAAACUAGAGGAGGUAAUACUUUUCAGGAAAAUUGUAGGGCUUUAUGUGUAUUCUCUGCUAAUAAACCAUCAUGAUUUUAUGUGGAUUCGAACCAAAGAGAUUCUUAAUAAAUAGAGUACAUUUUUUUUCCUUAGAACAAAUUUCUAACUAAUUUAACCCAGGUCAUAUUUGUAGUAUGGUCCCAAAAUUAUAGAAAACAUGAUUUGUGCCUGGAUGUUUUUAAGAGUAAAUGAAUUAGGCUGCAUCAACCCUAGAAUGAUUCCAGUAUGACUUUUAAUUUUGAUGAAUCUAAUUUAUGUAAUUUAAUUUUGAUGAAUAGGCAACCAAAGGAAUUUUACAAACAUAGAGCACAGUGGAUGUGAUGCCCCCUGAAAUUACAUAAGGUUCUGGCCUUGUGGACUCUUCACUGAGUUUGAAUGGUAGAGUUACGAUAGCUGUAUGGCCAAGUCCUAUAACAUUAGUUUU